rnacentral:rRNA from 1 species
UUAGAGUUUGAUCAUGGCUCAGAACGUACGCUGGCGGCACGCCUAACACAUGCAAGUCGAACGCAGUAGCAAUACUGAGUGGCAAACGGGUGAGUAUAAUGUGGGAAUCUGCCUUUUGGUUUGGAAUAACACGGGGAAACUUGUGCUAAUACCGGAUAAGCCCUUACGGGGAAAGUUUUAGCGCCGAAAGAUGAGCCUGCACUUGAUUAGCUAGUUGGUAAGGUAAAAGCUUACCAAGGCAACGAUCAAUAGCUGUUCUUAGAGGAAGACCAGCCACAUUGGGACUGAGACACGGCCCAGACUCCUACGAGAGGCAGCGGUGGGGAAUCUUGCACAAUGGGGGAAACCCUGAUGCAGCGAUGCCGCGUGAGUGAAGAAGGCCUUUGGGUUGUAAAACUCUUUCGUCGGGGAAGAAAAUGACUGUACCCGAAUAAGAAGGUCCGGCUAACUUCGUGCCAGCAGCCGCGGUAAUACGAAGGGACCUAGCGUAGUUCGGAAUUACUGGGCUUAAAGAGCUCGUAGGUGGUUAAAAAAGUUGAUGGUGAAAUCCCAAGGCUCAACCUUGGAACUGCCAUCAAAACUUUUUAGCUAGAGUGUGAUAGAGGUAAGUGGAAUUUCUAGUGUAGAGGUGAAAUUCGUAGAUAUUAGAAAGAACACCAAAUGCGAAGGCAACUUACUGGGUCACUACUGACACUGAGGAGCGAAAGCAUGGGUAGCGAAGAGGAUUAGAUACCCUCGUAGUCCAUGCCGUAAACGAUGUGUGCUAGACGUUGGAAAUAUAUUUUUCAGUGUCGCAGCGAAAGCAUUAAGCACACCGCCCUGGG